AAAGACCUUAAAUCCCUCUUGCUUCAAAGCUUCAUAGAGAUUCCAGGUAAACCCAUAUCUAGUAUCUUCUCCUCUAAAGCUGAGAAAAAUCUGGUAUUGUUGUCUUGUAUAUCCCAAAUCAUCUACCUGUGCUUUUAACUCCGCUGUGGGCAUAUUGAUUGAGGAAGAUCCUACAUCUUGAGACUGGAAGGGAAAUGCUGAAUAACGUUUGGCAAUUAACAUCCUUGUUUCUGCUAUCUUCUCAGUGUACCAAUCUGAACUCUUCAUAAGAGUUGUUUCUUUUAAUUGCAGAUUGAUCUCUGUUAAGAAUUUAUUCAUUUCAUUUAUCUGCUCCUGAAGCUCUUUCUUGAAUCUAUCACCCACAUAAGGAUCAUCUGAAAUAUCAUCGGUAAUUAUCUUCAAGUCAACACAUUGUAGGUUAAUCAACAACCUUAUUUCACAGCGAAGUUCCUCAUGUAACUUAAUUAUUGCAGGUUCCACAUCUUGAGAAGAUUGGAGAGAAAUAAAUGCUGGUUCACAUUUGUCAAUCAUUGUCCUUGUUUCUGCUAUCUUGUUACGGUACCAAUCAGAAUUCGUCUCAGGAAUUUUUUCUAGUAACUGCACUUUGACCUUUUCUAAGAAUUGAUCCACUUCAUUUAUCCGCUGCAAAGCAUCUUUAGGUUUAUAUAGCUGACGAUCAUUUGUUGAAUGAAAGAGAGUACGCUGAGCAUAAUAUAUGUUAAUCAGCGAUGCUAUUUCAUAGUAGAGUUCUUCACGUAAUGAAAGUGGUACCAUAUUUAUUGAGGAAGAUCCAACAUCGCUUAAUCUUCCAAAAGUAAAAUUUGGGCCACGUUUGGCACACAAGUCCCUUAUUCUUGAUAUCAUGUAAUUGCACCAAUUGGAAUUUGUGUAAAGACUUUUAUCUAAAGCUUCCACUGCUAAGGCACUCUUUAAGAAUUUAUCCACUUCAUUUAUCCACACUGCAACUUCAAAGAAAUGUUUAUUUUGAUAAAUUCCUAUUGUAACAGAGGUCCAACGGUCUUCAUUUUGCUUCAUAACCAGCUCUG
rnacentral:lncRNA from 1 species